rnacentral:tRNA from 1 species
GCGAGAGUGGUGGAACUGGCAGACACAUACGGUUUAGGACCGUAUGCCUUUGGGCAUGUGGGUUCAACUCCCACCUCUCGCACCA